UACGUAGGGUGCAAGCGUUGUCCGGAAUUAUUGGGCGUAAAGAGCUCGUAGGCGGUCUGUCACGUCGGCUGUGAAAUCCCGAGGCUCAACCUCGGGUCUGCAGUCGAUACGGGCAAACUAGAGUAUUGCAGGGGAGACUGGAAUUCCUGGUGUAGCGGUGAAAUGCGCAGAUAUCAGGAGGAACACCAGUGGCGAAGGCGAGUCCCUGGACAACACCUGACACUGAGGCACGAAAGCUAGGGGAGCAAACAGG
rnacentral:rRNA from 1 species